GAACAAGAACAAAAAAGGAAGAUUUUCCCAACAAAAUCCUUAAGAAAAAGGCGAAAAUACGAGCGAUAAGGGCGAAACCCUAGCUCUUCUUGCAAACGAACCGUUUUCGCUCCAUCUCGAAUCUGACUGAUUGAUAGCUGCAAGGACUAGAAAAGAAGGAACGAAGUGGGUCAGUUAGAGCCAAAGAUCAAGAGUAACGGAUCAGUAGAGAGAUAUGAACGAUUACAUAAAUGGAGACAUUUCAGUGGAUUCAGUUGCAGUCUGUUAGAUGGAUAGAUUUAAAAAUAGAGUUUGAGUGCACUGCGGUGCUGUAAGAAGAUGGGGGCUUCCCUCUCCAACCUUACAGAGUUUGGUAAUAAUGGGUUUUGUGGCCCAGGUCUUGGUGAUAUUCCAGAGAAUUGUGUGGCUUGUCUUUUUAUGUACCUGACCCCUCUGGAGAUCUGCAACCUUGCUCGACUUAAUCGUGCUUUUCGCGGUGCUGCCUCUGCCGACUCUGUUUGGGAGACAAAGCUUCCACCCAAUUACCAUUACCUUCUGGCGCUGCUCCCUCCAGAGAGCUACACUAACAUAUCCAAGAAGAAAGACAUCUAUGCCCUCCUCUCUCGGCCUGUUACCUUUGAUGAUGGUUCAAAGUUGGUUUGGCUCAACAGAGUCACUGGUGGAGUAGGCUUGUCAAUCUCAGCCAAGGCUAUGUCCAUAACAGGGAUUGAUGACAGAAGGUACUGGAGCUGGGUUCCUACAGAAGAGUCCAAGUUCCAUGUCAUGGCUUAUUUACAACAAAUAUGGUGGUUUGAGGUUGAAGGAUUGGUCAGCUUUUUGUUUCCUGCUGGUGUAUACAGCUUGUUAUUUAGGCUCCAACUUGGAAAAACUUUCAAAAGACUUGGACGACGACUCUGUAAUUAUGAACACACACAUGGUUGGGAUAUUAAACCCGUGCGUUUCCAGCUUUCCACUUCAGAUGGCCAGCAAGUCACGCGUGAGUGGGUUUUGGAUGAUCCGGAAAAUGAUGAUGUGAACGGAAAUAACAAGCGUGGGAGUUGGAUAGAAUAUCAUGUAGGCGACUUUGUUGUUGGUAACUUGGACAUGUUGGAAGUAAGAUUUUCCAUGAAGCAAAUUGAUUGCACACAUUCUAAAGGGGGACUUUGUGUCGACUCUGUUUCUAUCAUACCUAGUAAACUGAGGGAGAGAAGGACCUUACAGAAAUAGCAUCCUUAAUUUGCCAGCAGUCAUUUGAACAGCAAAUUCAGUAGAGGAAAGCUUUAACUUGAUGAGCAUACGUAUUCUACUGUGAAUCCCCAACAUGUUACUUGAAGAAUAUGGAGAGUUCACCUGCAUUGAAGAAUAUUGCGACUUGCACUCAUCAAGGUUCGACAUAAGGAAUUUGGUUCACAUGGGAAUUCAUAGUAUAUUCGUUUCUUUUAUUUGAAGUUUGUACUGUUAGCAUCCCCAGUAGGCUCUACAACGGAAAACCUGGUUAUGUUACCAGGAAAAUAGAUUACUCCUCCCCUGUUUGCAAAACUGAAAAGGAAAUGGUUGUACGAUGAGUUGCUCCUUGUACUCUUUAUCACCUUCAAUGAAGUCUUAGACAAAUUGUCUGA